UACAGAGGGUGCGAGCGUUAAUCGGAAUUACUGGGCGUAAAGCGUGCGUAGACGGCUAUCUAAGUCAGGUGUGAAAGCCCCGGGCUCAACCUGGGAAUUGCAUUCGAGACUGAAUAGCUAGGGUGCGGUAGAGGGAAGCGGAAUUUCCGGUGUAGCGGUGAAAUGCGUAGAUAUCGGAAGGAACAUCAGUGGCGAAAGCGGCUUCCUGGACCAGCACCGACGUUCAGGCACGAAAGCGUGGGGAGCAAACAGG
rnacentral:rRNA from 1 species